AGUGAACGCUGGCGGUAGGCCUAACACAUGCAAGUCGAACGGCAGCACAGUAAGAGCUUGCUCUUACGGGUGGCGAGUGGCGGACGGGUGAGGAAUACAUCGGAAUCUACUUUUUCGUGGGGGAUAACGUAGGGAAACUUACGCUAAUACCGCAUACGACCUACGGGUGAAAGCAGGGGAUCUUCGGACCUUGUGCGAUUGAAUGAGCCGAUGUCGGAUUAGCUAGUUGGCGGGGUAAAGGCCCACCAAGGCGACGAUCCGUAGCUGGUCUGAGAGGAUGAUCAGCCACACUGGAACUGAGACACGGUCCAGACUCCUACGGGAGGCAGCAGUGGGGAAUAUUGGACAAUGGGCGCAAGCCUGAUCCAGCCAUACCGCGUGGGUGAAGAAGGCCUUCGGGUUGUAAAGCCCUUUUGUUGGGAAAGAAAAGCGGCAGGUUAAUACCCCGCUGUUCUGACGGUACCCAAAGAAUAAGCACCGGCUAACUUCGUG
rnacentral:rRNA from 1 species